GGAAAUGGUCCAGGACUGCUGGGUGUGAGCCUCACCUCUCCUCCAGCCGAGACUGCGGUUGUCAGUGAUCCAUUGAAGAAACGGGACCUGAAAUAAGAGAUUUUAGCGAUGAUGUGUGAAGUGAUGCCCACGAUUAAUGAGGACACCCCAAUGAGCCAACGGGGGUCCCAAAGCAGUGGCUCCGACUCAGACUCUCAUUUUGAGCAACUGAUGGUCAAUAUGCUGGAUGAAAGGGAUCGUCUAUUAGAUACACUACGAGAGACCCAGGAAAGCCUCUCUCUUGCCCAGCAAAGACUCCAGGAUGUCAUCUAUGACAGAGAUUCACUCCAGCGACAGCUCAAUUCAGCCCUACCUCAGGACAUCGAAUCCCUAACAGGAGGGCUGACUGGUUCUAAGGGGGCUGAUCCACCGGAAUUUGCUGCACUGACUAAAGAACUGAAUGCUUGCAGGGAACAACUUCUAGAAAAGGAAGAAGAGAUCUCAGAGCUGAAAGCUGAAAGAAACAACACAAGAGUAAGUAUUAAACUUUUUUUUUUUGCUAUAAAUAGUCUAUUGUCCUGUAUCAGAACACACAUCUAAAAACUUCCCAAAACUUUAGGAGUUCUUUGAGCAGAUUCCAAUUCACAGUCACUUACUUCAAAAAGAAGGAAACAUGUUAU
rnacentral:lncRNA from 1 species